CCUACGGGGGACAGCAGUAGGGAAUAUUGCUCAAUGGGGGAAACCCUGAAGCAGCAACGCCGCGUGGAGGAUGAAGGUUUUCGGAUUGUAAACUCCUUUUGUUAGAGAAGAUAAUGACGGUAUCUAACGAAUAAGCACCGUCUAAAUCCGUUCCAGGAGCCGAGGUAAUACGGAGGGUCCAAGCGUGACUCUGAAUCACUGGGCGUAAAGAGCGCGUAGGCGGGAUAGAAAGUCAGAUGUGAAAUCCUAUGGCCUAACCAUAGAACUGCAUUUGAAACUGUUAUUCUAGAGUAUGGGAGAGGUAGGUGGAAUUCUUGGUGUAGGGGUAAAAUCCGUAGAGAUAAAGAGGAAUACUCAUUGCGAAGGCGACCUGCUAGAACAUAACUGACGCUGAUGCGCGAAAGCGUGGGGAGCAAACAGGAUUAGAUACCCGAGUAGUC
rnacentral:rRNA from 1 species